rnacentral:lncRNA from 1 species
UUUUUUUUUUUUUUUUUUUUGAGACAGAGUCUUGCUCUGUCGCCCAGGCUAGAGUGCAGUGGUGUGAUCUCGGCUCACUGCAACCUCCACUUCCCGGGUUCAAGCAAUUCUCCUGCCUCAGCCUCCCAAAUAGCUGGGAUUACAGGCAUGUGCCACCAUGCCUGGCUGACUUUUUUGUAUUUUUAGUAGAGACGGGGUUUCACAAUGUUGGCCUGGCUGGUCUCAAACUCCAGACCUCAGGUGAUCCGCCCGCCUCGGCCUCCCAGAGAGCUGGAAUUACAAGUGUGAGCCACAGCGCCUGGCCUCUACCCUUGUUCUUAAGCAUCUAUACUAUACUGUCUGUUGGACAGAGGGAUAAAUCCACAAAGGAUUAGUACUCAUUCUGGAUUUUCCCUAUGGCUAGCAGGUAAGGUUAAGUUCAAGAAAAGAAAUACAGUACUGGUUCACUGAGGGAGCUAACCCAUAUGAGAGCCAGAAGAGUGGAAAAAAACACAAAAGUCAAGAUAGUCAAAAGAGAAAGAGCACAGUGUGCAGUUGAGAAAUGGACAUUUUAAGGCUCAGCUUGAGAAAGUCCACAUAUAUCUAUAGCAUGAGGAGGAUGACAUUAUGUUCCCAUAGGAUCAACCUGAGUACUUGGAGAGGAGAUGAGAGGAGAAAAUGAGUGAGGUGAAUUGAAUAUGUCUUAAAUGGAAAAAGUCUUACCAAUAGAAAAAAAAAUUAAAGUAUUUUAGGUUCUUCUGCAAAGUAGAAUAGCAACCCAACUAACUUCAAACGCUAGUCAACCUAUCUGGCAGGCAGCCUCCAGGGCUCAGUACUACCUAUAACUUGGAAUGCAAAGUAUUAAUUAUGAAUAAGAGAGGAAUUCAAGUCCUUGAUUUCCUUACAAGAAAGUAGUUAUGGGUGUGUCUCCAUGACAUUUGCUAAUGUUCAAUGUUUAAGAACAUCAAAGCCAAAAGGGAAGAUAGACAAAAUAUUCAACAGUUUAAUGUCCAGGCUCUAGGUUGGAAAAGGAAAAGACAAGCAUGUAUUUCUUUGAGGGGGUAGACUGGACCUUAAUUCCACAUGUAUUCGUUUGCUGUAUUCUUUGAUUGAGUCUAUUUCUCUGUAUGCAAAAAUCCCCUCCCAUCACAGACUAUCCAAUGAAAAAUGAAAACGAGAGACAGAGGAAUCCUAGGAUAAUUCAAUUUGUCAUAUUCAGAAGGCCCAAGGACUCAAAAUUCCAACCCUUUCCUUCAGAGACAGUGCCCCUGAGGCCAUUCCCAGUUUGAUAAUUUGUUUCAGUUAUGCUCCCCACACAAAAGUUAUGAGUCAUAUAAAACUGUAAAAUGUCAAAUAGUCAACUUGCAAUCAUCAUCACUUUGCUCUGGAUACAAGAAUCCCAUAAUUUCUUGUAGCAUACUUCUUUUUUACUGUAAGAUCUCAGAUUCGGAGAAAGGUGGAACAGGGAACUGCGGCAUUCACAAGAAAGAAGGUGAAGAAAGCAGGCAGCUUCAAAUAAAGGAUAUUCUAAAAUAACAAGACUAAAAUGAAUUUUUUUCAGGAAUUCUAAACUCUAACAGCUAUUCUCCAGGUAUCAGAAAAGAACACUGUUCUCCUCCAUAGCUGCAUUAGCCUUUCAGAAAAUGGUCACUCUUCCGUGUAGGGGAGACACUAAUAUCACAAAGGAAAAGGUGGAGAGCUGUAAUCGGUGCCUGAAAACAAUGACUGAUGAGUCCACACAAACCAAACCUCCAACACACACUACCCAGAAAUAAUAACAGAGUAGGGGAAAAGGUAUCCAUGAAGUUGAGAGGGGAAAUCAGCCAGUCAGUGUUUCCUUCAGCGAUAUUAUCUCCAAAUCCCAUGGCCAAUUUAUUUGUUAGUUCCACCCAGUGGAAGCUCAAGAAAUUCUAUAAAUGAGUCUCAGGGUUGGCAGGUGAAUGAGUAGGGUGUGCACAGGUUAGGUGACUUGUCUUGAAGCUGCCAGCAGAGCAAGCACACUGUUUUUCACUUAGAGGGUAUAUUUUAGGGGUGGUUAGAUAUGCAAAGAGUCCCAAGUCAACCCGUGGUGCUGGUGCUGCGUCUAUCCCAUAGGACCUUCACAUUCUUCCCAGGUAAGACAUAGAAUAGCCAGAAACUUAUUCACAGCAUAUGCUCCUAACCUGUCCCUGUGGCCUCUCCACCUAGAACAUGGGAGUGAAGAAACUGGGCAUUUUAAACAAUUUACUUCAGCUUUGCAUUGAUAUUUUCAGUUUUAAUUAGUUUGCAAAAUAAGCUGUACAACAUUUUACGACUUUUCCCCAGUUGCUUCACAUCAGCAGAAUCCAGAAAAAUAUUUAGACCAAGAAACACUUUGUGGCUUUUAUAAGCUCUCAAUUAGUUCCCGUGUUGGCUCUGUUAAGUUCUGCCUUAAAGAAAAUCAGGUUCAAAUUCAGCUUAAGGCUGGGUGUGGUGCCUCACGCCUGUAAUUCCAGCACUUUGGGAGUCCAAGGCAGAUGGAUCAGCCAGGGUUUCGAAACCAGCCUGGUCAAGAUGGUAAAACCUCGUCUCUACUAAAAAUACAAAAAAAUUAGCUGGGCAUGGUGGCGCAUGCCUAUAAUCCCAGCUACAAGGUAGGCUGAGGCAGGAGAAUCACUUGAACCCAGAAGACAGAGGUUGCAGUGAGCCGAGAUUGCGCCACCACACUCCAGCCUGGGCCAGACUGUCUCAAGAGAAAAAAAAAAAUUCUGCUUAAAUACUGAGACCCACAACAGACAAAGGGAGAAAGGUGGGAGGGGAAAGGGACCCAGAAGUAAAAGUAAAGGCAGACUAGAAGGACACUAGCUCAGUCUCAUCACCACAACCUCUGACUUUUAUCAGACAAAAAAGGAUAAGGCCUAGUUUUCAUUAGGGAGAAUCUUUGUCUCUUUAAAGAUACUUUUUUUUUUUUUGAGACAGGAUCUUGCUCUGUCACCUGGACUGGAGUGCAGUGAUGUGAUCUCUGCUCAAUGGGGACCUCUGCCUCCCAGGCUCUAGUGAUCCUCCCACCUCAGCCCCCUGAGUAGCUGGGACUGUGGAACUACAUACACAUGCUACCACGCUCGGCUAAUUUCUGGGGGGGGGGACCUUUUUGUAGAGAUAAGCUCUCGCUAUGUUGCCCAGGCUGGCCUUUCCUAGGCGCAAGCAAUCCUCCCAUCUUGGCCUACUGUGCUGGGAUUACAGGCUUGAGUCAGGAGUUCGAGACCAGCCUGAUCAACAUGGAGAAACCCCAUCUCUACUAUUAGCUGGAGCUAAUUUUUGUAUUUCAAAAGAACCCUCUACUUUGAAAAGAACCCUGAGACACUAUGUGAAGAAGCACAGGUUAGUUUACUGAUGAAUUAAAAAAAAAAAAAAGAAUGGUGAAUACACUGAAUUUGUCUCUAUGUGACCUGAGGCCCAAUCUAUGCAAUUCACAUUUGGUGCCCAUAAAAUAAUUUUUAACCAAUCUCAACAACGCCAAGUAAAAGCUAAGUCCUAUGCUUGAGAAGAACUGAAUUCUUGCUUCUCCCAACCAUUGCUAUAAGAAAGCAUAACAUGCCACAGUAAUUGGGCACACAAAAAUGCCUUGCCUUAGUUGUUAGGAACUUUUCUUCUGAGUUGCUUCUGUUCAAGGAGCUCUGGAUUAUAAAUGAUGCCAUGGGUACAGGUUCACUUACCGCCAAUUAGUAAGUGCUUGCACAGUUAAUUCUGUCAGUCUUACUCCUACACAGAAAUACAUUUGGCCCCAAGGGGCCCAACCACCCACAAAGCUCUUUUGCACAUCUUUUUACCCUCCAGCACAGAAAUAGAGGGCUAUAUCCUAGAAAAUACCCAGAGAAAGAGAAAAGGUAGUUUCCCUGAUAUCCUAUGUCUAGGAAACUAGGGUCUAGCUUUUUAUUUGAAUAUUGUUUCUAAAUUCAUUUCUCUGAAUAACCCAAAUAAUUACCUAAGACAUUUCUUCUUUUUUCUUUCUUUUUCUUUUUCUUUUUUUUUUUUGAGAUCGAGUUCCGCUCUUGCUGCCCAGGCUGGAGUGCAAUGGUGCAAUCUUGGCUCACCGCAACCUCUACCUCCGAGAUUCCAGCGAUUCUCCUGCCUCAGCUUCCCAAGUAGCUGGGAU